GGUGGCUCAGUGGUAGAGUGCUUGCCUUACAAGCAUGAGGCCCUGGGUUCGAUUCCUCAGUACCA
rfam:Dipodomys ordii contig_51448, whole genome shotgun sequence.